rnacentral:rRNA from 1 species
CACGUAGGAGGCGAGCGUUGUCCGGAAUCAUUGGGCGUAAAGAGCGCGCAGGCGGCUUGGCAAGUCGGGUGUGAAAUCCCGGGGCUCAACCCCGAGACUGCAUUCGAUACUGUCAGGCUAGAGGUAGGUAGGGGAGAUCGGAAUUCCUGGUGUAGCGGUGAAAUGCGCAGAUAUCAGGAGGAACACCGGUGGCGAAGGCGGAUCUCUGGGCCUUACCUGACGCUCAGGCGCGAAAGCUAGGGGAGCGAACAGG